UUUCGUAUAAAUAUGCAUUACCUCGAAAUCCGUCUCGGGCCCUCUCCCCAACAAAAUUAACUUCAAACUAGCAACUCUUUAACGAACACCAAAUGAAAUCAUUCCUUUUACAAAAAAAAUUAUCUUCAAAAACAAUGCCGCAAUAUUACUAAAUGAGCCAAAAUUUUACUGAAGCAAGAAAGCUGUCUCAUAACUCAAUCAAGAAAACCUGUCUUCUGCAGCACGACAUUGCGAACCCGGCGCAGAUCCCUCCCCUUGAGAGUCCUCCCGGCUCCCUUCAACACCGAGAAGGGGAUCAUC
rnacentral:lncRNA from 1 species